AAAACAAAGGUGCCUUUGCCAAUAUAAUGGUUCCCUUUGAUAAGCCCUGAGAUUUUUGAGGGGAAUCCACUACAAAUGGGAUCAGGUCAUUCACUCAUGGUGUGAGCAAAUAUAAUUUAAAGAUGCAACCCA
rnacentral:lncRNA from 1 species